GGAAGACCAGCUUGCUUCUGGUCGGUUCCCGGCGCCCUGCGUUUCGUGACCUUGUCCAGUAGAAGGCUAUUUAAUUUUCACAACUGCUUGAAUUUUGACAUACAAGAUGAAGCAAGAUGCCUCAAGAAAUGCUGCCUACACUGUGGAUUGUGAAGAUUAUGUGCAUGUGGUAGAAUUUAAUCCCUUUGAGAAUGGGGAUUCAGGAAACCUAAUUGCAUAUGGUGGCAAUAAUUAUGUGGUCAUUGGCACGUGUACGUUUCAGAACCUUCAAGUUCCAUUGCACCCAGUUUCAUGCUUCUUGUCUUGAGAGAAAACUAAGUAAAAGAAGAAGAAGCAGACGUUGAAGGCAUUCAGUAUAAAACACUUCGAACAUUUCACCAUG
rnacentral:sRNA from 1 species